rnacentral:rRNA from 1 species
UACGAAGGGGGCUAGCGUUGCUCGGAAUGACUGGGCGUAAAGGGCGCGUAGGCGGCGCAUUUAGUCAGGCGUGAAAUUCCUGGGCUCAACCUGGGGACUGCGCUUGAUACGGGUGUGCUUGAGGAUGGAAGAGGCUCGCGGAAUUCCCAGUGUAGAGGUGAAAUUCGUAGAUAUUGGGAAGAACACCGGUGGCGAAGGCGGCGAGCUGGUCCAUUACUGACGCUGAGGCUGCGACAGCGUGGGGAGCAAACAGG